CAGCCGCCGCGGGAAUACGUAGGGUGCAAGCGUUAAUCGGAAUUACUGGGCGUAAAGCGUGCGCAGGCGGUUUGUUAAGACAGAUGUGAAAUCCCCGGGCUUAACCUGGGAACUGCAUUUGUGACUGGCAAGCUAGAGUAUGGCAGAGGGGGGUGGAAUUCCGCGUGUAGCAGUGAAAUGCGUAGAUAUGCGGAGGAACACCGAUGGCGAAGGCAGCCCCCUGGGCCAAUACUGACGCUCAUGCACGAAAGCGUGGGGAGCAAACAGGAUUAGAUACCCCAGUAGUCCCUGUCUCUUAUAC
rnacentral:rRNA from 1 species